GACCUAAAAUGCCGUGAACUAUAGAGCAAGGUCACUAAAAUGGUGACACAGGUUGUUCCUUCACUCCCUCUCACAAGGGGAAUAACUGUCACCUAUUUAUGAGCAAGACAUCACUGAGAGAAUCCUAGCAUCAGUGGGUGAGGAUGAUGGAGCCCCUGCACCUCAGAGCCCAAAUAGACUGGAAGGGGAUGGCAGGAAAACCAGUAGGGCUCAACCUCUGAGUAUCUGCCUGGGAUAAAGGUAAGAGACUUGCAACAACCGACAACCAACAAACACAUGGAUCUUGGUGAGCUGAGUUCCCAUCUGCAGAGCCUAAGGAGUCAUCCCAGCCAGAGGCUUGGCUUAUCUACAGAACCAAGUUUAGGGUGCAUUCUGACCAGGGAACUCGGUGAGAGAUGGAGGAAACAGCCAGAGGACUAGAAGUGGAGCCUGAAGAUGUGUCUGAAUGGCUGCAAUCUCAUGAUCAAACUUUUACGGAUGAGGCGUUGUUUCUUAGGGAGGCACAAAGCAAGCGGUUCCUUGAGGUGGAAUCUACCCCCAGUGAAGAUGCUGUGAAGACUGAUGAAAUGACAACAAAGGAUUUACAGUAUUACAUGAACUUAGUUGAUAAAGCAGCUGCAGGGUUUGAGAGGAUUUGACCCCAGUUUUGAAAGGAGAUGUACUGUGGGUAAAAUGUGAUGGAAUAGUAUUCCCUGCUACAGAGAUAUCAUUUGUGAAAGGAAGAGCCUAUUGAUGAGGCAAAUUUUGUUGGCUUAUUUUAAGAAAUCACAGCCACACCAGCCUCCAACAACCACCACCUUUAUCAGUCAGCAGCUAUCCACAGUGAGGCGAGAUCCUUCCCGAGAAAAAAAGAUUAUGACUUGCUAAAGUUGAGGUGAUAGUUAGCAUUUUGUUUUAGCAAUAAAGUACUUUUAAAAUA